UUAAGCGACUAAGCGUACACGGUGGAUGCCCUGGCAGUCAGAGGCGAUGAAGGACGUGCUAAUCUGCGAAAAGCGUCGGUAAGGUGAUAUGAACCGUUACAGCCGGCGAUGUCCGAAUGGGGAAACCCAGUGUGAUUCGUCACACUAUCGUUAACUGAAUACAUAGGUUAACGAGGCGAACCGGGGGAACUGAAACAUCUAAGUACCCCGAGGAAAAGAAAUCAACCGAGAUUCCCCCAGUAGCGGCGAGCGAACGGGGAGCAGCCCAGAGUCUGAAUCAGCUUGUGUGUUAGUGGAACGGUCUGGAAAGUCCGACGGUACAGGGUGAUAGUCCCGUACACCAAAAUGCACAGGUUGUGAACUCGAAGAGUAGGGCGGGACACGUGGUAUCCUGUCUGAAUAUGGGGGGACCAUCCUCCAAGGCUAAAUACUCCUGACUGACCGAUAGUGAACCAGUACCGUGAGGGAAAGGCGAAAAGAACCCCGGCGAGGGGAGUGAAAAAGAACCUGAAACCGUGUACGUACAAGCAGUGGGAGCACCUUCGGGUGUGACUGCGUACCUUUUGUAUAAUGGGUCAGCGACUUAUAUUCUGUAGCAAGGUUAACCGUAUAGGGGAGCCGCAGGGAAACCGAGUCUUAACUGGGCGUUAAGUUGCAGGGUAUAGACCCGAAACCCGGUGAUCUAGCCAUGGGCAGGUUGAAGGUUGGGUAACACUAACUGGAGGACCGAACCGACUAAUGUUGAAAAAUUAGCGGAUGACUUGUGGCUGGGGGUGAAAGGCCAAUCAAACCGGGAGAUAGCUGGUUCUCCCCGAAAGCUAUUUAGGUAGCGCCUCGUGAACUCAUCUUCGGGGGUAGAGCACUGUUUCGGCUAGGGGGUCAUCCCGACUUACCAACCCGAUGCAAACUACGAAUACCGAAGAAUGUUAUCACGGGAGACACACGGCGGGUGCUAACGUCCGUCGUGAAGAGGGAAACAACCCAGACCGCCAGCUAAGGUCCCAAAGUCAUGGUUAAGUGGGAAACGAUGUGGGAAGGCACAGACAGCCAGGAUGUUGGCUUAGAAGCAGCCAUCAUUUAAAGAAAGCGUAAUAGCUCACUGGUCGAGUCGGCCUGCGCGGAAGAUGUAACGGGGCUAAACCAUGCACCGAAGCUGCGGCAGCGACACUAUGUGUUGUUGGGUAGGGGAGCGUUCUGUAAGCCUGCGAAGGUGUGCUGUGAGGCAUGCUGGAGGUAUCAGAAGUGCGAAUGCUGACAUAAGUAACGAUAAAGCGGGUGAAAAGCCCGCUCGCCGGAAGACCAAGGGUUCCUGUCCAACGUUAAUCGGGGCAGGGUGAGUCGACCCCUAAGGCGAGGCCGAAAGGCGUAGUCGAUGGGAAACAGGUUAAUAUUCCUGUACUUGGUGUUACUGCGAAGGGGGGACGGAGAAGGCUAUGUUAGCCGGGCGACGGUUGUCCCGGUUUAAGCAUGUAGGCUGAUUGUCCAGGCAAAUCCGGAUAAUCAAGGCUGAGGUGUGAUGACGAGGCACUACGGUGCUGAAGUAACAAAUGCCCUGCUUCCAGGAAAAGCCUCUAAGCAUCAGGUAACAUUAAAUCGUACCCCAAACCGACACAGGUGGUCAGGUAGAGAAUACCAAGGCGCUUGAGAGAACUCGGGUGAAGGAACUAGGCAAAAUGGUGCCGUAACUUCGGGAGAAGGCACGCUGGUGUGUAGGUGAAGCCCCUGCGGGUGGAGCUGAGACCAGUCGAAGAUACCAGCUGGCUGCAACUGUUUAUUAAAAACACAGCACUGUGCAAACACGAAAGUGGACGUAUACGGUGUGACGCCUGCCCGGUGCCGGAAGGUUAAUUGAUGGGGUUAUCCGUAAGGAGAAGCUCUUGAUCGAAGCCCCGGUAAACGGCGGCCGUAACUAUAACGGUCCUAAGGUAGCGAAAUUCCUUGUCGGGUAAGUUCCGACCUGCACGAAUGGCGUAAUGAUGGCCAGGCUGUCUCCACCCGAGACUCAGUGAAAUUGAACUCGCUGUGAAGAUGCAGUGUACCCGCGGCAAGACGGAAAGACCCCGUGAACCUUUACUAUAGCUUGACACUGAACAUUGAGCCUUGAUGUGUAGGAUAGGUGGGAGGCUUUGAAGCGUGGACGCCAGUCUGCGUGGAGCCAACCUUGAAAUACCACCCUUUAAUGUUUGAUGUUCUAACGUUGGCCCCUUACCGGGGUUGCGGACAGUGUCUGGUGGGUAGUUUGACUGGGGCGGUCUCCUCCCAAAGCGUAACGGAGGAGCACGAAGGUUAGCUAAUCCUGGUCGGACAUCAGGAGGUUAGUGCAAUGGCAUAAGCUAGCUUGACUGCGAGCGUGACGGCGCGAGCAGGUGCGAAAGCAGGUCAUAGUGAUCCGGUGGUUCUGAAUGGAAGGGCCAUCGCUCAACGGAUAAAAGGUACUCCGGGGAUAACAGGCUGAUACCGCCCAAGAGUUCAUAUCGACGGCGGUGUUUGGCACCUCGAUGUCGGCUCAUCACAUCCUGGGGCUGAAGUAGGUCCCAAGGGUAUGGCUGUUCGCCAUUUAAAGUGGUACGCGAGCUGGGUUUAGAACGUCGUGAGACAGUUCGGUCCCUAUCUGCCGUGGGCGCUGGAGAAUUGAGGGGGGCUGCUCCUAGUACGAGAGGACCGGAGUGGACGCAUCACUGGUGUUCGGGUUGUCAUGCCAAUGGCACUGCCCGGUAGCUAAAUGCGGAAGAGAUAAGUGCUGAAAGCAUCUAAGCACGAAACUUGCCCCGAGAUGAGUUCUCCCUGAGACUUUAAGUCUCCUGAAGGAACGUUNGACGUUGAUAGGCCGGGUGUGUAAGCGCAGCGAUGCGUUGAGCUAACCGGUACUAAUGAACCGUGAGGCUUAACCUU
rnacentral:rRNA from 1 species